GGGUUCUUGGUCGAGUGGUAAGGACACUUGUCUCUCAUCCUGGAGUCCCCGGGUUCGAUCCCCGGCCGAGGAGUUA